rnacentral:rRNA from 1 species
AUUGAACGCUGGCGGCAUGCUUUACACAUGCAAGUCGAACGGCAGCGCGGGCUUCGGCCUGGCGGCGAGUGGCGAACGGGUGAGUAAUGCAUCGGAACGUGCCCAGUAGUGGGGGAUAGGCCGGCGAAAGCCGGAUUAAUACCGCAUACGACCUGAGGGGGAAAGCGGGGGACCGAAAGGCCUCGCGCUAUUGGAGCGGCGGAUGUCGGGUUAGCUAGUUGGUGGGGUAAAGGCUUACCAAGGCGACAAUCCGUAGCUGGUCUGAGAGGACGACCAGCCACACUGGGACUGAGACACGGCCCAGACUCCUACGGGAGGCAGCAGUGGGGAAUUUUGGACAAUGGGGGCAACCCUGAUCCAGCCAUGCCGCGUGCGGGAAGAAGGCCUUCGGGUUGUAAAACGCUUUUGUUCGGGAAGAAAUCCUCUGGGCUAAUACCCCGGGGGGAUGACGGUACCGGAAGAAUAAGCACCGGCUAACUACGUG